CCCUUAGAUGUUCUGGGCCGCACGCGCGCUACACUGACUGGUGCAACAAGUGUCGCUCCUUGGCCGAUAGGCCUGGGCAAUCUUUGAACGCCAGUCGUGAUGGGGAUAGAUUCUUGCAAUUUUUGAUCUUCAACGAGGAAUUCCUAGUAAACGCGAGUCAUCAACUCGCAUUGAUUACGUCCCUGCCCUUUGUACACACCGCCCGUCGCACCUACCGAUUGAAUGGUCCGGUGAACCCUCCGGAUCGGCCCGCGCCAACGCAAGUUGAGCAAAGGCCGAGAAGUUGGGUAAACCUUACCAUUUAGAGGAGGGUGAAGUCGUAACA
rnacentral:rRNA from 1 species